AAUUAAAAAGUUAAGAUGGUUUAAAAAGACGAGAAGACCCUAUAGAGUUUAAUAAAUAAAUUAUUUGAUAUUAUUUAUAAUUAUAAAAUUGAAAUUAAUUUAUUUAUUUUGUUGGGGUGAUAAAAAAAUAUAAAAAACUUUUUUUUUAGUAAACAUUUAUAAGUGAUUAAAUGAUCCAAUAUUAUUGAUUAUAAGAAUAAAUUACCUUAGGGAUAACAGCGUAAUUUUUUUUUUUAGUUCAUAUAAGAAAAAGAGUUUGCGACCUCGAUGUUGGAUUAAGAUAAAAUUUAAAUGCAGAAG
rnacentral:rRNA from 1 species